AGAACAGUCAGGAGACAACUCUAAGACCCCUCAAGUUGUCCACCAUAAGUCCUUCCCCCCUGUACACACCUGGAACUUCUUCAUCUCCUAGGAGGUAAACCAGGGCUGGCCCUGUCAUUUGCUUUAACUACUAUGAUGUCACAGAAGUGAUGUUCUGGGACAAGUCCUGGUCAAGAAGACUGAACAUUUUUAUCUUUCUUGGAAGCCAGGUACCAUGGAAGGCAUUAGACUUCUCUCAGACCAUGAUGUCGAGAGAAAGCUCAAGUCCACCACAUGAAGAGGCCAUGUGGAGAGAUUCCAGACCGGCUCCCAGCUGUUCCAGAUAUUUGAGAGGAGUUCCAGACAUAAGAGUAUUCCAUUAUAAAGAUGUGCCAUGGUUUGAAGGACAUCAUUAACCAGUUGAAGGACAUCUGGUUUUUUGAAAUGUGUUCCCAAACGCACAAAAGAAAAAUGUUUGUCCCGAUAUAUUACAAAAUGAUGCUGAAGCCAAACACGCACUUGGACGAACAGUCUGACUGUCAACACCACUCAUGCAAGAAGUUCAUCAAACAGACAACCAAUCCAUAUGAUCAUUGAUACUCCUGCAAAAGCACAACUAUGUCAAAAUACACAAUCAAUUCCCGCUCAAAUAUUUAAACAGCCUUCCUAAGCUGUGAUGCUCGAUGUUUAAUAAAACCCGAUGGAAAUACCUGGAAAUACUUGCAGGAGAGUUGUUAGGCACCCUUAACUUUGCAGUUAAAUUGCUACUAUGCCUUUAAC
rnacentral:lncRNA from 1 species